GAUGAACGCUAGCGGCAGGCCUAAUACAUGCAAGCUGAACGGCAAGUUGAAUAGCAAUAUUUGACCUAGAGUAGCGUAAGGGUGCGUAACACGUAUGCAAUCUGCCCGCAACAGGAGGAUAGCUUGAUGAAAGUUGAGAUAAGACUCCAUAAGAUCACAGGAGGGCAUCUGAUAGUGAUUAAACUACAAGGGGUUNCGGAUGAGCAUGCGCAUGAUUAGUAGU
rnacentral:rRNA from 1 species